GAUUAUGGCUCAGGACGAACGCUGGCGGCGUGCCUAACACAUGCAAGUCGAACGGACGAGAGGAGCUUGCUCCUCAAGUUAGUGGCGGACGGGUGAGUAACACGUGAGCAACCUGCCCUUCGGAGGGGGACAACAGCUGGAAACGGCUGCUAAUACCGCAUGACACAGCGGGGAGGCAUCUCCCUGCUGUCAAAGAAUUUUAUCGCCGAAGGAGUGGGCGUCGCGUCUGAUUAGAUAGUUGGUGAGGUAACGGCCCACCAAGUCAACGAUCAGUAGCCGGACUGAGAGGUGAACGGCCACAUUGGGACUGAGAUACGGCCCAGACUCCUACGGGAGGCAGCAGUGGGGAAUAUUGGGCAAUAGGGGGGCGAACCCCUGACCCAGCAACGCCGCGUGAAGGAAGAAGGCUUCGGGUUGUAAACUUCUUUGACGAGGGACGAUAGUGACGGUACCUCGAAAACAAGCCACGGCUAACUACGUGCCAGCCGCCGC
rnacentral:rRNA from 1 species